rnacentral:rRNA from 1 species
CACGCAGGCGGUCAGAUAAGUCAGAUGUGAAAGCCCCGGGCUCAACCUGGGAACUGCAUUUGAAACUGUCCGACUAGAGUCUUGUAGAGGGGGGUAGAAUUCCAGGUGUAGCGGUGAAAUGCGUAGAGAUCUGGAGGAAUACCGGUGGCGAAGGCGGCCCCCUGGACAAAGACUGACGCUCAGGUGCGAAAGCGUGGGGAGCAAACAG